CUUUGGAACUUUGAGCUAGAAGAGCCAUUGGGUGUUAAGGGAUCUGGAGCCUAGAAGACAAGGUGUGUGCUACAAAGGGCAGAUCUGGAGAAGUGACCCAAGCCCUUGGAGGAGCCUAGAAGAUUGUAAGUGGAUCCCAGACAUUGGAUGGUUGGAGUUUGAUUUUGCUUUUGAUUGUGACUGUGCCCUGAUAUUUUUCCCUCUUGAAGGAAGACAGUAUUCUAGUGGACUCCACAGUUAAGAGACUUUGAAUUUUAAAAAGACUUUGAAUUUUAAAAGAUAUUGUGUAUUUUAAAUGGAUUGAACUUUUAAUAUAUAAAGACUGUGUGACUCUUAAAGUUAUUUAGAUCUUGGGGAUGAAUAAGACAGUAGGGUUGAGGCUUAAUAGUGAUGUGUUUGUGUGUCAAGUUGACAAGGGGUCAAUUGUACUGUCUGGUUUUGUGUGUCAACUUGACAGAAGCUGGAGUUAUCACAGAAAAAGGAGCCUCAGUUGUGGAAAUGCCUUCAUGGGACCCAGCUGUAAGGCAUUUUCUCAAUGAGUGAUUAAGGAGGAGAUGUUUGCUGUGUUCUGUAGCUGCAGAUCUUCAGGCUGUCACUGUCCUCAUCACUGUGGACCAGUGGUGAGGCAGAGACAGAGCAUCAGCAGGAGGAGUCUGGGAAGGAGACAAACGAGAGACAGGAAGGGGCGGGAUUAAGAUCCACACUUCAGAGCACAGCCCUUGCAACACACUGCCUUUUAUAAGGCCCCCCUCGCUAGUUUCUUCCCUCCCCGGUAAUGCCGUUGCAUUAUGAGCCAGCCAAAGGCUCAACACAGGACUUGGAAAAACCUUGUACUUGGCUUUUAAAGACUAUUUUCUACUUAGAAUUUACUACAUGCAUGCUUUGCUAUUCCAAUUCUAUCACUAUCUUUAGGGAAAGCAACACAGUGAGGUGUACUGUGCGCUUUCUUCUCGUGAGAACUGUUUGUUUUAUAACAGCACAAACCAGCUUGACCUGAUGGACUUUAUGGGAAGCAGUGAAGAAAGGCUCUUGAGAAAUGCAGAUAAAGUACACCGUGCCUCAAGUGCAAGGCCAGGCACCUGCAGCUCAGCCUACCAUUAACCCCCUUUGCUUUAAGGCCCUGAGUAGUGCGUCUGCGGCGAGCAGGUCUCAUGAGCUUCUUGUGUCAGUGAGAGAGUGAGUCGGGACUGAGUUGCCAAUGACUUGGGGAGUGAGUGGCUGUGUGGUAGGAAAUCUACAGAUAUACUCCUUGUUGGGCUGUUAAGUUUUUGGGGAUGCCUAGGAAAAUCUAUGUGGGACUUCUUUAGUAUAAAUGAGCAGGUAAUAUAAGAUUAUAAUUGUAUAAGGGUAUCAGGUAAGCAAUGUAAGUAAUAUAGUAGAGGCAAGCAAUUUACAUGAGAUUCCAAGGGCUACAAGAGACAGAACUAUAGCACAGACCUCGAAUGGUAAACAUUGUAUAUAUAGUCAGAAGUGUUCAUUCUUCCCAUGAUCAUGUAUGGAGGAUGUGGGUCUGUGGAAUAUAUGCGAUGCUUUCACGAGGUUUUCUUUUUAGUUCAGCGUCAUAUCUGAUAAAACUGCCUCCAAGGUGUUCCUGUGGACUCUGUGAACGUUUGGGAGGUUUGUGUCUCAAGGGGUUUGCCGAGGUGGACUGUCCUUGAUUUCUUAGAAGUCACUAAUGCCACAGACAGACGGACAACCACAUGGCAGAGUUGGGGGCUUCUCUUCUUUCCUCUUCAGAGGGAAGGGGGGGUUCCAUGCUCUGUGGUUGAUAGUACAGGCUGGGUCUAAAAGCAGGAGGCGUGUGAAUAGGAAAGAAGAGGGCCGGCUGGAGUGGAAAGGGGAUGAGAGGAGGCGUGAAAACGACCAAAAUACACUAUGUACACGGAAAAACCGAUCAAAGCCUUAAAAAGGAAGCUCAAGGUAAUGUUUGGCUGCGUGGUAGGCUUGAGGUCAGCCUAGGUUAGAUAAGACGGGAUGUGUACCAAAGCACGGGGAGAGUGAGGGGGUGGGAAGAAGAUGGGCUUGUUCCCAUGACCUCUGUCAAACAUCUCCACCCCAAACAUCACUGCGUGCACAAUGACAGGUGCUAUAGCAGUUCCAACCAUAUUCCAAUGGAACUAAGCUAGGGACUAAACAUUUAACACAACAGCUUGUGGAAUCGCUUUUGUAGAAAUUCUGUUUUUACACAUUAAAGUGUUCAGUUCCAUUUAGGCAAGUCCUGGGACUGCCCUGGACCUCUGCUCCCACACUGAUUUUUCUCUCCACAGUCCCCCACUAGUUCCAGCUGCACUCUCUGCAUCAGACCCUGCCAGUUUUGAUGUUAAUUUUGCAUCCUGCAACUUUGCUGAAAAUGUUUGUCAGUUUCCUGGAGGAGUAUUUGGUCCUUGUGCAUUGACUCACACCCUCAAAUAAGGACACCUGGAUUUCUUCUUUCUAAUUUGUGUCCCCAUUAUUUCCUUCUCUUGUCUUGGUGACGUGACUAAGACCUCAGACUAUUGAAUGAGUGGAGAAAGUGGACAACCUUGUCUUGUUCCCAAUUUUAGCAGAAAUGGCUUGAGUUUUUCUCAUUUAUUAUAAUGUUGGCUAUUGGUUUAUUAUUAUAGAUAUUAUUGUAUUGAGAUAUGUUCCCGAGGACUUGAGUUCAAUUCCUAGAACCCACUUUUUUUUUUUUUAAAGACUCAGUCUUGGUAUCACAGUUCCUGAGUAGCAGGCCAGCCUGGGUGUGUGGUGAAAUGCUGUCUCAGAAUCCCCUGGUAAUACACAACCCUAACUUGAGUGCCUGGCGCUACAAAGUCAUUUGUGUCAAAAGUGCACCACUCCAGGCACUCUGGUGAGGAGGUGACAGGCAGACAGUGAGAACUGAGGGUGGGAGGAGAGCUGUGACUGCCAUCUUCUGGACACAGCAGGCUAUUGCACUCAUGAGCUCUGUGCAUUACAGGGCUAGCCUAGAUGGUCACAGAUCCAGGGUCAGACCCUCCAUACUUUCUCCUUGAGUGUAUCAAGAUCUUAAACCUACCUUCAACAUGAGGGAGGUCUAGCCAAGGUGCCAAAAAGGAGCCACGUGUGUGGAGAGGAGGACACUGGGAAGGUAUUGAUCAAAGAGCAUUAUGCUUGUCUCAUUCUCUAGGUUUGCAAAAGGCAGUCCAGAGAAAGAGACUGUGAGCACCAGGAGGAGGGGCCAGGAGGACCCACCAUGCGCAGAGAGGGCCUCAUAUAGUCUGGCCUUGAACUUGCUGCCAUGAAAGAUGACUUCAAACUCCCAAUUCUUCUGCCUCCAACUCCCAAGAUGGGAAUCACAUUCAUGUACCCCUAGGCAGGGCUCUAUGCAGUGGCUCCAAUUCCCAGAGACCUCACAAGGGUCUUCUCCAGCUCCUGCCAUCCCACAGAGGAGUAGACAGACAGGAGAAGCUGGCUCUCCCAGCUACAGAGACUCAGGUGGAGCUGCACCCAGCCCCCUUACCCCAUGAGGUAAAUUGACUCUGAUGGCAAAGAUGGUCUCUAACCAGACAAUGCAGGAGCUCUGCUGUUGUCCAGAUGAACAUGGCCUGGGCAGAUGGUGGCCGGAACACCUGUGAGAAGGCUCUCAGAGCUGGGCGAGCCAUGGCUGAGGGGCACGACUGUGCAGGUGACUUUUCCAGGGGUGCGAUGAAAGGUGCAUGGAGACAGUGUGAGGAGGACCUAGACUGCCACCCUGAGAUCUGCAGAAGAUCUGAGAGGGAAGACUGCAAGAAAGGCAGGACUUGGGGGAGGCUCAGAAGGCAAUAGGGGACUGAGGAGAAGGCUUAAUCAGAAAAGCACUCAACCUCAGGAGCCUGAAGAUUGAGUCUGGAUCUCUGAGUGUUACAGAAAAGCCAGGCACCAUGUCUAACCUGGCCCAUGUGGCAACAUUUCUGGCCAUGGAGAGACCUUGUCUCAGAAAUUGGAAGGUGCCCGAAAAGCAACAUCCGAGUUUGUCCUCUGACCUCCAUGACUACAUGCUGGGCACAUGUGCUCCCAUGCCCACAACAAUGCACACCACCAAAUGGUAAAGAGCACAACUGCUUGGGUCACACAGAGGAGUGAGGGGAGAAGUGGCUGGGAAGUAGACACUGCAGUGCUCAGCCUUGUGCUGCAGAAUGAACCGACAGAGUCAUCCCUCUGGGGCAUGGACCUUCCCUCCUCCCACCUGCAGCCCAGCCUCCUCACCCCUGUCUCCUGGAAGAGGCUGUGCUGAGAGGCUCGCAGGCUGUGCAGCAGUAUAGCCAGUGAAGGAUCCCUCCACUGGGUGUGGUGCAGGCACAGAGGUAGGGAUUGUCUUGUGCCUGAUUGGUUGAGAAGUGUAGCACAAAGCUAGAGUAUGGAGUAAUUGGGGGUGGGGCGGGACAUAGACUGGCAGAAGGAAUAUAGAACCCUUUCUUCAAAUAUGCCAGCUGUCCUCAUUGGGAGUUCAAGACCAGUGUGAUCCAUAUACUAAAACAGGAAUGGAGUUGUCGAGCUGCAUAUGGGGUGUCUUACCAGAAAGCAAACGGGAAGAUCCACCUGAGAGAACACCUGCAUGGUACUAUCACAGAAAAAUUCCAGUCCCCAUUUGGGACAACCCAUCUGCACUUUUAGUCAGGGAGGCCUGAGGCUUCCAAAGCAGAACAGUAUACAUUUUCCCCCCUAAACUUUGUGAAAUCCUGACAAACCCCCCAUCGGUUCCUGGAGCCAUGUAAAUGUAGAUAAAGAGAAAUGACUCCAGAGUUGUCCUCUGACCUCAAGAAAGCAUCCCCUCCCCAAGGCCUCUCUUCCCGAGUACCAGGACUGCAGGACUGAGCCAGCACACCCAGCAAGCCAUUUGUUUUUUUGUCUUCUGGAGAGUUACCUAAUUGCCACAGGCCUCAGUGAAAACAAAGGAGAAGAUAUUAGCCACCUUCUAACCCUAAAACAUCAUGAAGCCCAGGACACUUCCCCACACUUCAUCACUGAAUCUCCUCAUCCCAUGAUUCAAAAACACUAUUUAAAUUCUGUGUUUACCUCAGCCAAGAAUAUAUACACAUAGACAAAGUUCAUCCCAGAGCUAGUAAGUGAGCGAGGCCUGAGGGGGCUGUGCCUCGGGACAAUGAACAAUGGCAAGAACAGAAAUGGCCUCCUGUGUCCCACCUCCUUCCUCAGGCCCUCUGCCUGCUGCCCCAGGACUGCAGAGCCCACAGAAUGGGUGCCAUUGUGCUUUGUCUGGUGCCAGCCUGGAACAGCUGAAGGCUGAGGGGGAAAUCCCACAUGCACUAGGAGAAAAUUUCCACUCGUUGCACUGUCUUGCUGCCUCAGGCUAGCUAGGCACAUUCAACUUCCACAGGAACUCCAGAUUCUCCAGGUCUCCUUCCUGGAGUUGCUGUCAGUGCCCCAGUGCUGGGAAAUCCAGAGGAGGGAUCUGCCUCAAGCCUGAGCACACCUAGCAAGACCUGUGUGCAGAAACGUUUCCAGAGUCCUGUGCUUAUGGGUCUCUAUUUUUCUUGUUUUUUUUUUUUUGUUUUUGGUUUUUUUUUUUAGAAGACUAUUUUCUCUGUGUUCAGCCUGCGUGUAGGUAUGUGCAUUCCUGGUGACAGCUGAGGGUCCCAGAGGGAGUUAGAUCCCCAGGAACUAGGGAGUACAGGGCAGUGUGAGUUCUGAGAUCCAAACUCUGGUCCUCACAAGUGAGCCCAAUUGUCAGCACCAAGCCUUCCUUAGAGGCCACACGCACACUGUCUUCAAAGUAAAUGGUGCUCUGGAGAGCACUGCAAAGCAAAAGGGUUUCUUUCUCCCGAUCUGUUUAUCUGGGAGCAUGGACAAGUGAUGACCUUGGAUGCUCAGCCCAGUCCUGUACCAACAGAGCAACCGCUCCUAAAGCUCUGCACUGGGCAGCAGCGUGGUGAGCGGCAGCAGGGGAGGGAUAUCUGUGUCUCCAGGGCCAGCUCUAAUGUGAAGAGAAAUCAGCUCUGUCUUCACCAAGGCCGGACCAGCCAGCAGCAGGGGAGAGCAUGGUAGGGAAGGGCAGAAUGGAAGAAGUGGAAAGAAGAGGGUUUCUGGGGCGGGAGCGGGUGGAAUGGGAGUAUGCGCAGAGAGGACACCUACUGCUGGACUUCCUGUACUCAUGUGGUCGGAGACAUCCACCGGGCCAGUGGUAAGAACACGGCGUGCUGUAGUUAGGGUUGGUUGUCAGGAUGGCUCCCAUGUAAGAUCCAUUUGUUGAGUGUUGACUGCCGAGAUGGGUGAGAGCUCAUCUUUCUCAGGCAGGAAUGACUGACGACCUUGGAACACCAGCUCGGUUCAUAAAGAAAAGUUCAGUGUUGACUUCAGCUUCGAACACCGUCCUAGCUGUUGUUCUCGGGGAGUCAACAGGUGGCCUUAGCGGGGUGGAUGUGUCUAGACAACUGAACCAUGAAGCUGGAUGCCAUCUGGAACUCUGAAAAGGAUUCAAGGCCCAGGGAGGAACAAACUGCUUCCUAUAUAUGUGUGCCCAUAGAUGAGUGCUGCUCUCCCCAGAUCGGAGAAGCUUCUUUUCCUAAAUAUGUGUGUCCAUGGAUGAGUGCUGCUUUCCCAGAUCGGAGAAGCUGCUUCUGCUCAGGGAGUGGUUAAUGUAUAGAUUCGUUACUUGUUAAAGGGUUGAGAACAAAUAUUGACUGAUAAGCCCCAAAUGAGACAUCUCUCUCUCUCUCUCUCUCUCUCUCUCUCUCUCUCACACACACACACACACACACACACACACACACACACACGCACACACACGCACACACACGCACACACACGCACACACAUGCACACACCUCACCAUUCAGGGUGCAUGUUGUAAAAUGGCACAGAAACAAUGUAAGAGAUGGAUGCUGGGGAGGAGUGCUGUGACAGCCUCUCUUCUGCACAGGUAGAAGCCACUGCACUCAUGAAAGCCCAGCAGCCGUGGUUACUUCCACUAAAAUCCCACAAGGUGGAGCCCUUCCGAAUCCCAGCA